rnacentral:rRNA from 1 species
AACGAACGCUGGCGGCGUGCUUAACACAUGCAAGUCGAACGGUAAGGCCCUUCGGGGUACACGAGUGGCGAACGGGUGAGUAACACGUGGGUGAUCUGCCCUGCACUUCGGGAUAAGCCUGGGAAACUGGGUCUAAUACCGGAUAGGACUCCUGGCUUCAUGGUUGGGGGUGGAAAGCUUUUGCGGUGUGGGAUGGGCCCGCGGCCUAUCAGUUUGUUGGUGGGGUAAUGGCCUACCAAGGCGACGACGGGUAGCCGGCCUGGGAGGGUGGCCGGUCACACUGGACUGAGAUACGGCCCAGACUCCUACGGGGGGCAGCAGUGGGGAAUAUUGCACAAUGGGCGCAAGCCUGAUGCAGCGACGCCGCGUGAGGGAUGACGGCCUUCGGGUUGUAAACCUCUUUCAGCUAUGACGAAGCGCAAGUGACGGUAGUAGCAGAAGAAGGACCGGCCAACUACGUGCCAGCCGCCGCGGUAACAC